CUCUUUUAUUUUUGCUUGCAUCGUUCCCUUUUCUCUUGCUCUCAACUCUCUCCUUCAUCACUCACCUCUGUACGCCAUCCAUGAUCGCCUAACCCCAAAGAGUCACCGAGACUCCACUGCGUUUGUACAACCCAGGCGAUGACGACCUUCGGUUGCUUGGAGGUUCGGUUGAUAUCUUGGCUCGACCAUAGUGUGAGGGUGAAGCUCGGCUGGUUAGGCGACGGCGGUUGGUGUUGACAGCGUGCACUGUUGCGGCUGUCAUUUAGGGUUAUAAAACCCUAAUAUUACCGGGUUGGAUCCGGGUCACAAGUCGGGUUACUGGACUCGGGUCAGAUAUGCUGUUGGGUGUUGUUUGGGUCUUGAGACUUGUAAUCUCGGCUCUUGAUCUGCUGGGUUUUGGUAUAAUGUGGGCCUGCAAACAUUGUAACCAAAA